UACGUAGGGUGCAAGCGUUAAUCGGAAUUACUGGGCGUAAAGCGUGCGCAGGCGGCUUUGCAAGACAGAUGUGAAAUCCCCGGGCUCAACCUGGGAACUGCAUUUGUGACUGCAUGGCUGGAGUGCGGCAGAGGGGGAUGGAAUUCCGCGUGUAGCAGUGAAAUGCGUAGAUAUGCGGAGGAACACCGAUGGCGAAGGCAAUCCCCUGGGCCAAUACUGACGCUCAGGCACGAAAGCGUGGGGAGCAAACAGG
rnacentral:rRNA from 1 species